AACGAUUAAAAUAACUGGAACACCAAUAUUUUCGAUACACUUGAAACUCUUCCAAUUCAUAUAACAACAUAAUCUUAAUUUACAGCUCCAACAGUGUGCUCCAUCUUCUGUUAGCAUUAUAUGAUAUGACUGGACAUCACAAUAAUUUAGAACCUCACUCAAUUUCCAAUGUCAAAUCAUUACUUCUGUUUUGUGCAACCAAUCUUUCCCAUUCUAAUAGUGAUAUCUAUAAUCUAUACUCAUCAUAUAUAUGAUCAUUGUAA
rnacentral:lncRNA from 1 species